GGGCCCGCACAAGCGGUGGAGCAUGUGGUUUAAUUCGACGCAACGCGAAGAACCUUACCUGGGCUCGAAAUGUAGAGGAAUACGGUAGAAAUAUCGUCGCCUAGCAAUAGGCCUCUAUAUAGGUGCUGCAUGGCUGUCGUCAGCUCGUGUCGUGAGAUGUUGGGUUAAGUCCCGCAACGAGCGCAACCCUUAUUACCAGUUGCUACCAUUUAGUUGAGCACUCUGGUGAGACUGCCUCGGAUAACGGGGAGGAAGGCGGGGAUGACGUCAAGUCCUCAUGGCCUUUAUGUCCAGGGCUACACACGUGCUACAAUGGCCGGUACAAACCGUCGCAAACCCGUGAGGGGGAGCUAAUCGGAAAAAGCCGGCCUCAGUUCGGAUUGGAGUCUGCAACUCGACUCCAUGAAGCUGGAAUCGCUAGUAAUCGCAGAUCAGAACGCUGCGGUGAAUACGUUCCCGGGCCUU
rnacentral:rRNA from 1 species